rnacentral:rRNA from 1 species
GGUUCGAUCAUGGCUCAGAUUGAACGCUGGCGGGAUACUUUACACAUGCAAGUCGGGCAACUGGCACGGACUUCAGUCUGGUGGCGAGUGGCGAACGGGUGAGUAAUGUAUCGGAACGUGCCUAAUGGCUGAGGAUAACUACGCGAAAGCGCUAAUACAUACGCCCUUCGGGGAAAGCGGGGGACCUUCAGGCCUCGCACUAUGAAACGGCCGAUAUCGGAUUAGCUGAUUUGGUGAGGUAACGGCUCACCAAGGCGACGAUCCGUAGCUGGUUUGAGAGGACGACCAGCCACACUGGGACUGAGACGGCCCAGACUCCUACGGGAGGCAGCAGUGAAAUUUUGGACAAUGGGGAAACCUGAUCCAGCCAUCCCGCGUGUGCGAUGAAGGCCUUCGGGUUGUAAAGCACUUUUGGCAGGAAAAAAACGGCCUGGAUAAUACCCCGUGCAACUGACGGUACCUGCAGAAUAAGCACCGGCUAACUACGUGCCAGCAGCCGCGGUAAUACGUAGGGUGCAAGCGUUAAUCAGAUUACUGGGCGUAAAAGCGUGCGCAGGCGGUUCGGAAAGAAAGAUGAAAUCCCCGAAACGCUUUGGAACUGCAUUUUAACUACCGAAGAGCUAGAGUGUGUCAGAGGGAGUGGAAUUCCGCGUGUAGCAGUGAAAUACGUAGAUAUGCGAACACCGAUAGCGAGAGCAGCCUCUGGGAUAACACUGACGCUCAUGCACAGCUGAUAGAGGCAAACGGUUAGAUACCUGGUAGUCCACGCCUAAACGAUGUCAACUAGCUGUUGUGGGGCCUUCGGGCCUUGGUAGCGCAGUAACGCAUGAAGUUGACCGCCGCAAGGGAGUACGGUCGCAAGAUUAAAACUCAAAGGAAUUGACGGGGACCCGCACAAGCGGUGGAUGAUGUGGAUUAAUUCGAUGCAACGCGAAAAAGCCUUACCUAUGACAUGUCACGGAAUCGAAGAGAUUUGGUGCAUACCAAGAGAACCGGAACACAGGUGCCGCAUGGUGUCGUCAGCUCGUGUCGUGAGAUGUUGGGUUAAGUCCCGCAACAGGCGCAACCCUUGUCAUUAGUUGCUACGAAGGGCACUCUAAUGAGACUGCACCGGUGAACCGGAGGAAGGUGGGGAUGACGUCAAGUCCUCAUGGCCUAUGGGUAGGGCUUCACACGUCAUACAAUGGUCGGGACAGGGUCGCCAGCCCGCGAGGAGCCAAUCCCGAAACCCGAUCGUAGUCGGAUCGCAGUCUGCAACUCGACUGCGUGAAGUCGGAAUCGCUAGUAAUCGCGGAUCAGCAUGUCGCGGUGAAUACGUUACCGGUCUUGUACGCACCGCCCGUCACACCAUGGGAGUGGUUUUACCAGUAGUUAGCCUAACCGUAAGGAGAAGGCGAUUACCACAGUAGGAUUGACUGGGGUGAAGUCGUAACAAGGUAA